rnacentral:rRNA from 1 species
UACGGGGGGGGCAAGCGUUGUUCGGAAUUACUGGGCGUAAAGCGCGCGUAGGCGGCUUUUCAAGUCGGGCGUGAAAGCCCCGGGCUUAACCCGGGAAUGGCGCUCGAUACUGUUGAGCUAGAGUGUGGAAGGGGCUACUGGAAUUCCGUGUGUAGCGGUGAAAUGCGCAGAUAUCAGGAAGAACACCAAUGGCGAAGGCAGCUCUCUGGGACGGUACUGACGCUGAGACGCGAAAGCGUGGGGAGCGAACAGG